AUUGAACGCUGGCGGCAGGCCUAACACAUGCAAGUCGAGCGGUUGAAGGGAGCUUGCUCCUGGAUUCAGCGGCGGACGGGUGAGUAAUGCCUAGGAAUCUGCCUGGUAGUGGGGGAUAACGUCCGGAAACGGGCGCUAAUACCGCAUACGUCCUGAGGGAGAAAGUGGGGGAUCUUCGGACCUCACGCUAUCAGAUGAGCCUAGGUCGGAUUAGCUAGUUGGUGGGGUAAAGGCCUACCAAGGCGACGAUCCGUAACUGGUCUGAGAGGAUGAUCAGUCACACUGGAACUGAGACACGGUCCAGACUCCUACGGGAGGCAGCAGUGGGGAAUAUUGGACAAUGGGCGGAAGCCUGAUCCAGCCAUGCCGCGUGUGUGAAGAAGGUCUUCGGAUUGGAAAGCACUUUAAGUUGGGAGGAAGGGCAGUAAGUUAAUACCUUGCUGUAUUGACGUUACCAACAGAAUAAGCACCGGCUAACUUCGUG
rnacentral:rRNA from 1 species